rnacentral:lncRNA from 1 species
CCACAAAAACAUCAGAUUGUUUUCUCUUUCUUUCUCUCACUUUGCUUUUUGUUUUUCUUCCUUCUUUGGUGAAAUCAUGGACAGAUUCCGAUGAGCUUUAAGCUCUACUAGCCACUAGCCACCAACCACUCCUCUUCUUUUCCUUCUCGUCUCUCCCUUUUUAGGCUUAUCGAUGAAAUCCACCAUCCUCAAUCAUUGUUGGUGAGAUUCCGACUUACCCCCACCUAUGCCGCCCUUUUCCACUGUUUCUUCAUCGGAAGUGGUGACCAAUGAAGGCCUGAAACCACCAUAGCCACGGACACCGCUACUGCUCCCUUGUCCCCCUUCCCUCUUCCCUCUUGUCAUUGUCGUCACUAGAUUUGGCCACCGAACAACCAACAAACAACUCCACAACUACUGUUUGCCGAAAAUGGGCUAGAUUUAGCCGAAAUCUAUGGCUUCCAGCAUCGCUCCAGCGAAAUUCGUGGAAGCAGCGUUCCUGAUCACGAUUGCUCUACUUUGGAGUUUUUGAUAUCAUGGAUGUGUAAUGGCAGAUUUAUUUUUAUGUCGUCG